rnacentral:rRNA from 1 species
GAUGAACGCUGGCGGCGUGCUUAACACAUGCAAGUCGAACGGAAAGGCCCCAGCUUGCUGGGGUACUCGAGUGGCGAACGGGUGAGUAACACGUGGGUGAUCUGCCCUGCACUUUGGGAUAAGCUUGGGAAACUGGGUCUAAUACCGAAUAUGACCACUUCUUGGAUGUUGUGGUGGAAAGCUUUUGCGGUGUGGGAUGAGCCCGCGGCCUAUCGGAUUGUUGGUGGGGUAAUGUCCUACCAAGGCGGCGACGGGUAUCCGGCCUGAGAGGGUAUACGGACACAUUGGGACUGAGAUACGGCCCAGACUCCUACGGGAGGCAGCAGUGGGGAAUAUUGCACAAUGGGCACAAGCCUGAUGCAGCGACGCCGCGUGGGGGAUGAAGGCCUUCGGGUUGUAAACUCCUUUCGCUAUCGACGAAGCCACUUGUGGUGACGGUAGGUAGAUAAGAAGCACCGGCUAACUACGUGCCAGCCGCCGCGGUAA